CACCUGGACAGGCUGAUAAUUCACGUUUUUGUUUUACAAAAAAAUAACUUUGCAGAGGACUUUCGCUUCACAAUGUUGAAUUGAAAUUGAUAGCCUAUUUUAGCCAGUAACCAGAGGCAUUAAUCUGCUAGGGAGCUUAUAGGGUGCAGGAGUCCCAUAGUGUAGGCUACUGCACCAUCUGCCUGGAAGGGAUUCACUAACCGGCACCAAGAUUUGUCAAUCAGCUGUCAGAAGAAGUCUGGGAGAGAUGGUGGAGGGGGAUGGAGCGGAGGAGAGGGAGGAGGAGGUGGAGGCUCCGCCGGAGGAGGUCGACACUCAGGAGGCGGCCUUGUAUUACUUUGGGCGAUACAGUGAGAUGAGACGAGCCAUUCCCUGGGAGCAGAGGAGCACCUCCGAGAAAGUAAGCUACUUCCUGGACCGAGGUUUCCUCGCCUUUGUCGUCCUGUUCCUCCUGGUGCUGCUAGCGGAGUGUGUGUACAAGUUUUGGUACGUGACAAACGUGGGUAAGAUCGUGGAGUUUGUGUUGGAUAUUGUGUCCUGGCUACUUACCCAGGAAAAGGAUGAGGAAAUGGAUGAACUGUAGGCCUUUCGGAAGCUGGAACGAUUACAGAGACGCAAUGCACACCACCACCAUCACCAGUUACGCAGUUAUUUGGUCAGUGUUUGGUACUUUGCAAUGUAUUGUUUAUAUUGACUUUUUUUUUCUCAGUAUUGUUGAAAAAAAAUAAUAAUAAUAAUAAACUUGAUUGUAACCAAAUAUAUGUGAACCUAAUUUCUUAACCUUCGACUUUUAUGGAAUUAUUCUAAUAAACCAGACUGAGGCACAA